CCAACCUGGUUGAUCCUGCCAGUAGUCAUAUGCUUGUCUCAAAGAUUAAGCCAUGCAUGUGUAAGUAUAAGUAUUAUACGGCGAAACUGCGAAUGGCUCAUUAAAACAGUUAUGAUUUAUUUGAUAAUCGAAAGUUACAUGGAUAACCGUGACAAAUUACAGCUAAUACAUGCAGUCAGACCUGGUCCAAGGGU
rnacentral:rRNA from 1 species